UCGACCCGUCGCGACUGGCGUCCGUGCCCGCCCCGCCCGAGAGCUCCCAGGAGUCUCCCGGCAGGUGCUCAGCACGGGAUGGUGGACCACCACCGGGGAGCGACGAGCACCACUCGACUUCGGGUCGUCCGCCUGGGCCCCGGUC
rnacentral:ncRNA from 21 species